GAGGACGGGGAGUGAGGCAGGAGAAGAGGACGGGGUAUGGCAGGAGGGAAGGGGGGACAGUUCAAAAUGCUAUGACCCAGGAUGAACGGGCAUGCCCGCUCAAGCCUUCUCCUUCUCUCUCACACACACACCUCUCGCACAGAGUUUAUCCAAAUGUUCUGUGUAAAAUCCAUGCAUUCCAUUGGUUAAAGAGCUCCUCAACUAUUCCUCUGUAGAAAGAUAAAGAGAGUGUUUGUGGGUGUGUGAGUACCAGAACAGUUUGCUGGUCCCCACAAGGAAAAAUACUAUUUUGGGGUUUGGGAAAAUAGGAUUUUAAAUGGGAAUCAAUUGUGUGUCCCCACAAGGUUAGUUAAACAAAGACUGUGUGUGUAUGUGCUAGUAUUUGAAGAAAGCGCUACAGGAGGAGUACAGAGACUAAUAGCAGCAGUAAAUCCUGUGGAGCUAAGAGCAGUAGACAGCAGAAGGCUUUGUGUUGAUCUCUAGUGGAACCACCUCACUUUACCCCUUACCUCAGCCCUGAAGAUUACCCCCAGCACCCCAAUGCCCUGCACUCCAUCGUAGUGUGUGUGCGUGUGCACAAACAUUCUUUUGCGACCCAUUCCUCUUUGUGACACACACACACGGGUGGCUGUAAGGGCAUUUGCCUCAGUUUCCCUAGCCCUCACUUCCCUGUGACGCCUUUGCCAAAGGAGGUGUGUGAAUGGAAGUUCGUAUGUAGUCUAUAUGGUAUGUAUUGGUGUAUGUGUAUAUGAGGGCUAUGGGUUGAGUGGAGAGGGAGCUUGUGAUAACAUGGGCCAAGGCAGCCCAGCUUCACAACACACACAUAAAUAAACACACAGAAAUAAAUAAGAAAGCAUAGGAUCAAUGCUUCAGAAAUGACGGGGGGAAAUGGAACGAUAAUAUAGACCUGUAGGAUCCAGACAUUCAGAGAAACCUGAGAGCAUUAAUUUAGCGCUAACCUUAUCAGAACACUAACAGAAGUUGUACAUCAGUUAUUUUUGUAUCUUGGCACAAAUACAAUGUUUAUUAGCACGAGUGCUAUCAGAAUCCAAUCAGAAUCCAAUCAAACUGCUAUCAGAAUACAAUUAGAACACUAUCAAAAUGCUAUUAAAAUCACAUUUAUUUAUAAAGCCCAUUUUACAUCAGCAGAUGUCACAAAAUGCUUAUACAGAAAACCCAAUCAGAAAGCAAUGCAGAUAUAGAAGUGUGGUAGCUGGGAAGAACUCCCUAGAAAGGCAGGAACUUAGGAACCAGGGUCUGAGAGUGGCCAGUCCUCUUCCGGCUGUGCCGGGUGGAGAUUGUAAGAGAUUGUUCUUCAAGAUGUUCAAAUGUUCAUAGAUGACCAGCAGGGUCAGUUAAUAAUCACAGUGGUUGUAGAGGUCGCAACAGGUCAGCACCUCAGGAGUAAAUGUCAGUUGACUUUUCUUAGCUGAGCAUUCAGAGGUUGAGACAGCAGGUGCGGUAGAGAGGGAGAGAGAGGGUCGAAAACAGCAGGUUCGGGACAAGGUAGCACGUCCGGUGAACAGGUCAGGUUUCCAUCUCCACAGGCAGAACAGUUGAAACUGGUGCAGCAGCAUGACAAGGUAGCACGUCCGGUGAACAGGUCAGGUUUCCAUCUCCACAGGCAGAACAGUUGAAACUGGAGCAGCAGCAUGACAAGGUAGCACGUCCGGUGAACAGGUCAGGUUUCCAUCUCCACAGGCAGAACAGUUGAAACUGGAGCAGCAGCAUGACAAGGUAGCACGUCCGGUGAACAGGUCAGGUUUCCAUCUCCACAGGCAGAACAGUUGAAACUGGAGCAGCAGCAUGACAAGGUAGCACGUCCGGUGAACAGGUCAGGUUUCCAUCUCCACAGGCAGAACAGUUGAAACUGGAGCAGCAGCAUGACAAGGUAGCACGUCCGGUGAACAGGUCAGGUUUCCAUCUCCACAGGCAGAACAGUUGAAACUGGAGCAGCAGCAUGACAAGGUAGCACGUCCGGUGAACAGGUCAGGUUUCCAUCUCCACAGGCAGAACAGUUGAAACUGGAGCAGCAGCAUGACAAGGUAGCACGUCCGGUGAACAGGUCAGGUUUCCAUCUCCACAGGCAGAACAGUUGAAACUGGAGCAGCAGUAUGACAAGGUAGUACGUCCGGUGAACAGGUCAGGUUUCCAUCUCCACAGGCAGAACAGUUGAAACUGGAGCAGCAGCAUGACAAGGUAGCACGUCCGGUGAACAGGUCAGGUUUCCAUCUCCACAGGCAGAACAGUUGAAACUGGAGCAGCAGCAUGACAAGGUAGCACGUCCGGUGAACAGGUCAGGUUUCCAUCUCCACAGGCAGAACAGUUGAAACUGGAGCAGCAGCAUGACAAGGUAGCACGUCUGGUGAACAGGUCAGGUUUCCAUCUCCACAGGCAGAACAGUUGAAACUGGAGCAGCAGCAUGACAAGGUAGCACGUCCGGUGAACAGGUCAGGUUUCCAUCUCCACAGGCAGAACAGUUGAAACUGGAGCAGCAGCAUGACAAGGUAGCACGUCCGGUGAACAGGUCAGGGUUCCAUCUCCACAGGCAGAACAGUUGAAACUGGAGCAGCAGCAUGACAAGGUAGCACAUCCGGUGAACAGGUCAGGGUUCCAUCUCCACAGGCAGAACAGUUGAAACUGGAGCAGCAGCACGACAAGGUGGACUGGGGACAGGGACAGCCAUGAGUCAUCAGGCCAGGUAGUUCUGAGGAAUGGUCGUAGAACUGUAACCCCACCCACUUUACCUAAGGACAGCCCCACACCACUAGGGGGAUAUUAGCAGACCACCAACUUACAAGUCUGAGUAUAGCCCAUGAAGAUCUCCUCCACCGCAAGCCCGAGGGCAGAGAAUCCCAGUGGAGAGAGGGGAGCCAGCCAUGCAGAGACAGCAAGGGCAGUUCGUCACUCCAGUGCAUUGCCAUUCACCUUUGCACCCCUGGGCCAAACUACACCCAAUCAUAGGACCUACUGAUGUAGAGUAAAGUCGAGACUGAGUCUGCGUCUCUGAUGGAUAGGCAGACCAUUCCAUAAAAAUGGAGCUCUAUAAUAGAAAGCCCUGCCUCCAGCAGCUUUCUUAACUUUUUUAGGGACAUUAAGGAGGUAUACUUUAUUGUGACCGUAGCGUAGGUAUAGGUAUGUACGGCAGGAUCAAAUCAGAGAGAUAGGUAGGAGCAAGUCUAUUUAAUGCUUUGAAAGUUAGCAAUAAAACCUAGAAGUCCACCCUCGCCUUAACAGGAAACCAGUGUAGAGAGGCACUGAUUGAAUUUGUUGGUUCUAGUCAAGAUUCUAGCAGAUGUAUUUAGCACUAACUGAAGUUUAUUUAGUGCUUUAUCUGGGUAGCUGGGGAGUAGAGCAUUGCAGUAGUGUAAUCUAGAAGUGACAAAAGCAUGGGUUAGCUUUUAUGCAUCAUUUUUGGACAAAAAGGUUGAAGAAAAUAUGGAAGAUAGAAAAAGCUGCUCUUGAAAUAUUAUUGAUAUGUUCAUUAAAAGAGAGAUCAGGGUCCAGAGUAGGUCCUUCACAGUUUUAUUUGAGACGACUGUACAACCAUCAAGAUUAAUUGUCAGAUCAAACAGCAGAUUGCUUUGUUUCUUGGGACGUAGAACUAGCAUCUCUGUUUGGUCCGAGUUUAAAAGUAAAACGUUUGCUUCCAUCCACUUCCUUAUGUCUGAAACAUAGGCUUCCAAGGUAGGCAAUUUUGGGGCUUCACCAUGUUUCAUCGAAAUGUACAGCUGUGUGUCAUCCGCAUAGCAGUGAAAGUUGUCAUUUUGUUUUUACAAAUGACAUCACCAAGAGGUAGAAUAUAUAGUGAAAACAAUAGUGGGCCUAAAACGGAACCUUGAGGAACACCGAAACUUACCAUUGAUUUGUCAGAGGACGAACUGAUAUCUUUCUGACAGAUAAGAUCUAAACCAGGCAAGAACUUGUCUGUGUAGACUGGAAGGUUUAGAGGCCAUGACUAUUUUCGUGUAUGUGUUGAUUGAGACAGGAUUUUAAAACUUUGGUAUCUCCAUUGAUCCUUGGUCCUGGCAGGUCUGUGUAGUGCUGAAGUGAAGGCCAUCCACACUUGGGGAAGGCUGCUUUUUAGUUAGCUUUGCGACAAUAUCAAAAAUAUAUUUUGAAUUGUUUUUAUUCUCCUCAAUUAGGUUGGAAAAAUAUGCUCAUAGCACAGCAGUGAGGGCUCUUCAAUAUCGCACGGUAGUCAGAAGUCUUCCAGUUUGGGGGAGCGCCAUUUACAUUCCAAUUUUCUGGAAGCUUGCUUCAGGGCUUGGUUAUUUUCUGUAUUUUUUUUUACCUUUAUUUAACUAGGCAAGUCAGUUAAGAACAAAUUCUUAUUUUCAAUGACGGCCUAGGAACAGUGGGUUAACUGCCUGUUCAGGGGCAGAACGACAGAUUUGUACCUUGUCAGCUCAGGGAUUUGAACUUGCAACCUUCCAGUCACUAGUCCAACGCUCUAACCACUAGGCUACCCUGCCGCGGAGGGAGGUCAUUUCUUGUGACAAAUGCUUUUAGAGGUGUGACUGCCUCUAGGGUAUUAAGCAAGGUUAAAUUUAGUCCUUGGGUAAGCGGAGGGAGUCUGGAAGGGCAUCUAGCAAUCUUUGGGCUGUCUGAGAAUUUAUAGCGUGGCUUUUGAUAAUCCGUAGUUGGGAUCUGAGCAGAUUAUUUGUUGCGAUUGCAAAUGUUAAAAGGUGGUCCGAUAAUCCAGGAGGAAAAAACAUUUAGAUCCACAAUAUUUAUUCCAUGGGACAAAACUAGAUCCAGGGUAUGACUGUGGCAAUAUGUAGGUCUAGAGACAUGUUGGACAAAACCCUUUCAGUCGAUGAUGGCUCCCAAAGCCUUUUGGAGUGGGUCUGUGGACUUUU